UACGUAGGGUGCAAGCGUUACUCGGAAUUACUGGGCGUAAAGCGUGCGCAGGCGGCUUUGCAAGUCAGAUGUGAAAUCCCCGGGCUUAACCUGGGAACUGCAUUUGUGACUGCAUAGCUAGAGUACGGUAGAGGGGGAUGGAAUUCCGCGUGUAGCAGUGAAAUGCGUAGAUAUGCGGAGGAACACCGAUGGCGAAGGCAAUCCCCUGGACCUGUACUGACGCUCAUGCACGAAAGCGUGGGGAGCAAACAGG
rnacentral:rRNA from 1 species